GUGAGGAAUAUUGGUCAAUGGGCGAGAGCCUGAACCAGCCAAAUCGCGUGAAGGAUGAAGGUAUUAUGUAUUGUAAACUUCUUUUAUCGGGGAAUAAAGUGCGGGACGUGUCCCGUUUUGUAUGUACCCGAAGAAUAAGGAUCGGCUAACUCCGUGCCAGCAGCCGCGGUAAUACGGAGGAUCCAAGCGUUAUCCGGAUUUAUUGGGUUUAAAGGGUGCGUAGGCGGACUGUCAAGUCAGCGGUGAAAGUCCAUGGCUCAACCAUGGAAUUGCCGUUGAAACUGUCGGUCUUGAGUGUAGAUGAGGUAGGCGGAAUUCGUAGUGUAGCGGUGAAAUGCUUAGAUAUUACGAAGAACUCCAAUGGCGUAGGCAGCUUACCAGGCUACAACUGACGCUGAGGCACGAAGGUGCGGGGAUCAAACAGGAUUAGAAACCCGUGUAGUCC
rnacentral:rRNA from 1 species